AGGUGUUUUCCGGAGAAGAGCCAC
rnacentral:piRNA from 1 species